rnacentral:rRNA from 1 species
CAAUAGACUACCCGGUAGUCCUGGCCCUAAACGAUGGGGACUAGGUAGUCGGCCGGCAUGGGCUGACUGCCGGAGCCAAAGUGCUAAGUCCCCCGCCUGGGGAGUAUGGCCGCAAGGCUGAAACUCAAAGGAAUUGACGGGGGCUCACACAAGCGGUGGAGCAUGUGGCUUAAUUCGAGGCUACGCGAAGAACCUUAUCCUGGGCUUGACAUGUGCGAAAGCGGGGGGAAGUAGGGUCCGGAAACGGCACCCGAACGGUAUCCAGUCCGGAACCUUCCACAGGUGCUGCAUGGCUGUCGUCAGCUCGUGUCGCGAGAUGUCGGGUUAAGUCCCAUAACGAGCGAAACCCUUACCCCCAGUUGCCAGCAAACGGGACUCUGGGGGGACUGCCGGUGUCAAACCGGAGGAAGGUGGGGAUGACGUCAAGUCCUCAUGGCCUUUAUGCCCAGGGCUGCACACGUGCUACAAUGGCGUGGACAGAGGGACGCGAGCCCGCGAGGGGGAGCCAAUCCCGGAAAGCACGCCCCAGUUCAGAUCGCAGGCUGCAACUCG